UAUGGGUCGAUGAUCACCAUUGUUGAGAAUAUAGUAGAGAAGGUCCUUUUUGGUUGUUCGUAGCCACACACACAUCCAGUCUCUACGAAAAAUUCACUCGAAGCCCUGAUCUAAUCGAUCUUCUCAGGAGUGCUAGCUCGCGCGAAGACCUUCUUCUUGGCCGAUCUGGAUCUUUUUUUUAAAUCUCUGAAAUCUUUCUAGAGAUUGAAGAUGAACUUCUAGAGAAGAUAAAGAGGUGAAAGAAAUAUGGAGAAGAAAAUAAUUUUUUUCUAAUUUAUUUUCUCCUCUUAAAUCUUUAGAACCAAAAACUUAAAAUUCAAAUUUUUGUGCGCACCCCAAA
rnacentral:lncRNA from 1 species